rnacentral:rRNA from 1 species
GGAAUUGACUAGUGAUUCAGGCCUAACACAUGCAAGUCGAACGGCAGCACGGACUUCGGUCUGGUGGCGAGUGGCGAACGGGUGAGUAACAUAUCGGAACGUAUCCACUAAUGGGGGAUAACGAGUCGAAAGAUUCGCUAAUACCGCAUACGCCCUACGGGGGAAAGCUAGGGACCUUCGGGCCUGGCGUUAAUGGAGCGGCCGAUAUCUGAUUAGCUAGUUGGUGAGGUAAAGGCUCACCAAGGCGACGAUCAGUAGCUGGUCUGAGAGGACGACCAGCCACACUGGAACUGAGACACGGUCCAGACUCCUACGGGAGGCAGCAGUGGGGAAUUUUGGACAAUGGGCGCAAGCCUGAUCCAUCAAAGGCGCGUGAGUGAAGAAGGCCUUCGGGUGUAAAGCUUAUGGCAAGGGAAGAAAACUUCCCUCUAACAUAGGG